rnacentral:rRNA from 1 species
AAAAGGGGGGCAACUCCCUGAGUAAAGCGGCGCACGGGGAGUAACACGUGGGUAAUCUGCCCUGGAGUGGGGAAUAACACCGGGAAACCGGUGCUAAUACCGCAUACGAUAGCGAGGUCUGCGGACUUUGCUAUGAAAGGAGCAAUUCGCUCUAGGAGGAGCCCGCGGCUGAUUAGCUAGUUGGUGGGGUAAUGGCUCACCAAGGCUACGAUCAGUAUCCGGUCUGAGAGGACGGUCGGACACACUGGAACUGAGACACGGUCCAGACUCCUACGGGAGGCAGCAGUGGGGAAUUUUUGGCAAUGGGGGCAACCCUGACCAAGCAACGCCGCGUGGGUGAUGAAGUCUCUUGGGACGUAAAACCCUUUCGACGGGGAAGAAAACCGCAAGGUUUGACGGUACCCGUAGAAGAAGCCCCGGCUAACUCCGUGCCAGCAGCCGCGGUAAUACGGGGGGGGCAAGCGUUGUUCGGAAUUACUGGGCGUAAAGGGCGCGUAGGCGGUGCUCUAAGUUAGAUGUGAAAACUCUGGGCUCAACCCAGAGCCUGCAUCUAAAACUGGAGUGCUAGAGUUCUGGAGGGGGUAGCGGAAUUCCUGGUGUAGCGGUGAAAUGCGUAGAUAUCAGGAGGAACACCGGUGGCGAAGGCGGCUACCUGGACAGAAACUGACGCUGAGGCGCGAAAGCUAGGGGAGCAAACAGGAUUAGAUACCCUGGUAGUCCUAGCCCUAAACGAUGGAUACUUGGUGUGACUGGGAUUGAAUCCAGUCGUGCCGAAGCUAACGCAUUAAGUAUCCCGCCUGGGGAGUACGGUCGCAAGGCUG